CUUGGCGACCAUACCACGUUGAAAGCACCGGUUCUCGUCCGAUCACCGCAGUUAAGCAACGUUGGGCCCGGUCAGUACUUGCAUGGGUGACCGGCUGGGAAUACCGGGUGUCGCCGGCU
rnacentral:rRNA from 1 species